rnacentral:tRNA from 1 species
GCGCUAAAUCAUUGAUUUAGUUGAAAUACGUCACGGACUUAAAAUCCCCCGCUCGUAAGGGCGUGCCGGUUCGAUUCCGGCUUCGGGCACCA